rnacentral:rRNA from 1 species
UACGUAGGGUGCAAGCGUUGUCCCGGAAUUAUUGGGCGUAAAGAGCUCGUAGGCGGUCUGUCGCGUCUGCUGUGAAAACCUAGGGCUUAACUCUGGGCGUGCAGUGGGGUACGGGCAGGCUAGAGUGCGGUAGGGGAGACUGGAAUUCCUGGUGUAAGCGGUGAAAUGCGCAGAUAUCAGGAGGAACACCGGUGGCGAAGG